UGAGUUAACACCUCCACCUACAAAUAAGCAGUGAGAGAAUAGCAAUGCUUCAGAUAUUUUCACAUAUAUAAUCUUGGGGAACAAAAGUCCCUGUCUUGCAAAGCGUUCUUUAGUCAUUAUAUCUAUGCUUGCAAAGAUGUGUAAAAAAAAAAAAGCUUACCGUUUUGAACGAUAUCAGAGCUGUCCUGCAAAUAAACACAAAAAACAAUAAAUUGAUGUUAUAAUUUGACGUUGUCAGUAUUUGAUGUCAAUGUGACAUUGGCUUGAGACGUUGGCUCGACGUUGGGUCUAGGUUAGUUAAUAUCACAACCUAAAAACAAACUAAAGAUUAAAGUCAAAUGACGUUAUAAUUUGACGUUGAUUGGACGUUACCACUAUGACGUCUUGAAGACAUUGGAUUUUGGUUGCCAUACCUGACGACUAAACAUCAGUAUUUGAUGUCAAUGUGAUGUUGGCCUGAGACGUUGGCUCGACGUUGGGUUUAGGUUAGUUAAUGUCACAACCUAAAAACAAACUAAAGAUCAAAGUCAUAUGACGUUAUAAUUUGACGUUGUGUAGACGUUGCCAUUAUGACGUCUAGGAAACAUUGGAUUUUGGUUGCCAUACCUGACGACUAAGUAUCAGUAUUUGAUGUCAAUGUGACGUUGGCUUGAGACGUUGGCUCGACGUUGGAUUUUGGUUAGUUAAUGCCACAACCUAAAAACUAACUACAGAUCAAUAUCAAAUGAUGUUUUAAUUUGACAUUGUGUAGACGUUGCCAUUAUGACGUCUAGGAAACAUUGGAUUUUGGUUGCCAUACCUGACGACUAAGUAUCAGUAUUUGAUGUCAAUCUGACGUUGGCUUGAGACGUUGUCUUGAUGUUGGAUUUUGGUUAGUUAAUGUCACAACCUAAAAACAAACUAAAGAUCAAAGUCAAAUGACGUUAUAAUUUGACGUUGAUUGGACGUUACCAUUAUGACGUCUUGAAGACAUUGGAUUUUGGUUGCCAUACCUGAUGAAUAAACAUCAGUAUUUGAUGUCAAUGUGACAUUGGCUUGAGACGUUGGCUCGACGUUGGGUUUAGUUUAGUUAAUGUCACAACCUAAAAACAAACUAAAGAUCAAAGUCAAAUGACGUUAUAAUUUGACGUUGAUUGGACGUUACCAUUAUGACGUCUUGAAGACAUUGGAUUUUGGUUGCCAUACCUGACGACAAAACAUACGUUUUUGAUGUCAAUGUGACGUUGGCUUAAGACGUUGGCUCGAUGUUGGAUUUUGGUUAGUUAAUGUCACAACCUAAAACUAACUACAGAUCAACAUCAAAUGAUGUUUUAAUUUGAC
ensembl:lncRNA